GAUCUGUCUGGCCAUGGAGCAGAAAAGAGUCUGCAGCUCGGCUCCGUUCAGCCCACACAUGUCUCCAAACUCCAAAGGAAGCACUGUGCUCGGGUCCUGGGUCACCUGGAACAUGAUGAAUCACAGGGAUGUAUCCCUCUGUCUCGAUCUCCAUAUUCUCCUGACCCAGCACACCCUCCAUUGCAGUCUGCAGAUAGCGCAGACUCACUAGAAUGGACAUCUGAGGACCAAGGAGAUUUAGAGAAACGGAUGCCAUUCUUCAGCCCAAUCUUCAGAGACUCCUCCAGGCUGGGCUGCAGGGCAAAGCUCAGAAUCAUGGCGACCAGCAGCAAGGAGGAGAAGAAGACAGAAAUGCAGAAGAACGGAGGAAGAAA